GAACUUCCCUCAUUCUCUUCAUCUCCCUCAAAUUUCCAAACCCUAGCCGCCACCACACCCCCACAACUCUCCAUCGGCGGCCACCACCCCAACCAUGCCCAAAUAUUUACCCCACAAUCCUCAAUACCUCAUCUAUCUUGAUCCACCUUCAUAUUUCCUUAAAAACCCUAGAACUCGCCUAAUAAUAGAUCUAAAAAUAGGCUGCACCCUAAUCCUUUUCUUUUGUUGACUUCUGCCGAUUCUGGAGUCGUAUAGAGAUAAAAUGCUCACCAAUCGACUAGUCUUGUUUCGAACUACUGGUAGGUGUUAGUUUUGAGUUGUUUCACGGGCAUCGAAAUCUGCUUAGAUUCCCAUUUGUCCCUCCGAAUUUCCCCUUUCUCUAACCUUAGUAGUCAUCGGCGUAUGCACCACUGGUCGAGCUUUAAAGCACAAAGCCAGUGGUCAUCCGUUGAUGACCACUGUUGGUCGAAAAGUAUUUCAUGGGCAGUCAUCUGCAUUCUUAAGGGUAAGUUGUGGAAGGGAAGAACCAUCAGUGGAAUAAAUAUGGCUGCGGUUCAUGAAUUUGGCUACUAAUUGGUCAAAUUUGUGAAUCGCAAAGCCAAGAGCUAGAGCAGCGGAAGUGUUCGAAGUCUUUGUAAAUCGUCUCACCCAGUCGGAAGCAUGAAUGCAUGUAAUCGUUCCCCUAAUGUCAAAGGGAAAUGUGUUUCAUCAUUAGUUAAUUGAGUAGGAUUGUAAUAAACACUGAAAAUUCUCUACGUUCUUUGUUAAUCGCCUAUUCUCAUUUGUAUGUAAUAUAUUCUAGAAUUAUUGGAGUAUGAGCUGAAAUUUUGGGUUAAAGUAUUCAUGCUGCAGCAAGUAAUAAUAGGCUAUGUGUAUAAACUUUAAUUUUGAUUUAGCUUUGCAAGUUCAUUUGUGAGCCA